rnacentral:rRNA from 1 species
GAUGAACGCUGGCGGCGUGCUUAACACAUGCAAGUCGAACGGAAAGGCCCUGCUUUUGUGGGGUGCUCGAGUGGCGAACGGGUGAGUAACACGUGAGUAACCUGCCCUUGACUUUGGGAUAACUUCUGGAAACUGGGGCUAAUACCGGAUAGGAGCUCCUGCUGCAUGGUGGGGGUUGGAAAGUUUCGGCGGUUGGGGAUGGACUCGCGGCUUAUCCGCUUGUUGGUGGGGUAGUGGCUUACCAAGGCUUUGACGGGUAGCCGGCAUGAGAGGGUGACCGGCGUCAAUGGGACUGAGGUACGGCGCAGACUCCUACGGGAGGCAGCAGUGGGGAAUAUUGCGCAAUGGGCGGGAGCCAGAUGCAGCGGCGCCGCGUGCGGGAUGACGGCCUACGAGUUAUAAACCGCUUUCGCCUGUGACGAAGCGUGAGUGACGGUAAUUGGUAAAGAAGCACCGGCUAACUACGUG